rnacentral:rRNA from 1 species
AUUGAACGCUGGCGGCAUGGCUAAAACAUGCAAGUCGAGCGCGAAAGUGGAGCAAUCCAUGAGUAGAGCGGCGAAAGGGUGAGUAAUGCGUUCCUAACGUACCUCAAGGUCGGGGAUAGCCAGGGGAAACUCUGGGUAAUACCCGAUGUGAUCGAGAGAUCAAAGGCUUGCCGCCUUGAGAGCGGGGAACGUCCUAUCAGGUAGUUGGUGAGGUAACGGCUCACCAAGCCAUUGACGGGUAGCGGGUGUGAGAGCAUGGCCCGCCACAUCGAAACUGAGACACUGUUCGGACUCCUACGGGAGGCAG